rnacentral:rRNA from 1 species
GACGAACGCUGGCGGCGUGCCUAACACAUGCAAGUCGAGCGGAGAUAGACUGAUGGUAACUGAAGUUUGUCUUAGCGGCGGACGGGUGAGUAACACGUGGGCAACCUGCCUUGGAGUGGGGGAUAACACCGGGAAAUCGGUGCUAAUACCGCAUAACAUACACAAACUGCAUGGUAAGUGUAUCAAAGGAGCAAUCCGCUUUAAGAUGGGCCCGCGGCUGAUUAGCUAGUUGGUAAGGUAACGGCUUACCAAGGCGACGAUCGGUAGCCGACCUGAGAGGGUGACCGGCCACACUGGAACUGAGACACGGUCCAGACUCCUACGGGAGGCAGCAGUGGGGAAUAUUGCGCAAUGGGGGAAACCCUGACGCAGCAACGCCGCGUGGAGGAAGAAGGUCUUCGGAUUGUAAACUCCUGUCUUCUGGGACGAAGUAUGACGGUACCAGAGGAGGAAGCCACGGCUAACUACGUG